AAGAGCGCUUUUGUUAGCCCAAAACCAAUGCGUCGCUCUGUCGGGCGGCGCUCCUUAUGGUGACUCUNGACAACUUUGUGCCGAUCGCACGGCCCUAGCGCCGGCGACGUAUCUUUCAAGUGUCUGCCCUAUCAACUUUCGAUGGUACGUGCUAUGCCUACCAUGGUGAUAACGGGUNACGGGGAAUCAGGNUUCGAUUCCGGAGAGGGAGCAUGAGAUACGGCUACCACAUCCAAGGAAGGCAGCAGGCGCGNAAAUUACCCAAUCCCGACNCGGGGAGGUAGUGACGAAAAAUAACAAUACGGGACUCUUUCGAGGCCCCGUAAUUGGAAUGAGUACACUUUAAAUCCUUU
rnacentral:rRNA from 1 species